UACAGAGGUCCCAAGCGUUGUUCGGAUUCACUGGGCGUAAAGCGUGCGCAGGCGGUUAUGCAAGACAGAUGUGAAAUCCCCGGGCUCAACCUGGGAACUGCAUUUGUGACUGCAUGGCUGGAGUGCGGCAGAGGGGGAUGGAAUUCCGCGUGUAGCAGUGAAAUGCGUAGAUAUGCGGAGGAACACCGAUGGCGAAGGCAAUCCCCUGGGCCUGCACUGACGCUCAUGCACGAAAGCGUGGGGAGCAAACAGG
rnacentral:rRNA from 1 species